AACCAUUCUCACCUGCGGCUAGACCUGCGGAAGGAUCAUUAUUGAAUAAACUUGGUUGGGCUGUUGCUGGCUUCUUGGAGCAUGUGCACGCCUAGCACCAAUUUUUACCACCUGUGCACCAUUUGUGGACCUGGAUACCUCUCGAGGAAACUCGGUUGGAGGACUGCUGUGCGAAAGCCAGCUUUCCUUACAUUUCCGGUUCAUCUUUUCACAUACCCCAUACGAAUGUAACAGACUGUU
rnacentral:misc_RNA from 1 species